rnacentral:rRNA from 1 species
UACGGAAUGUGCAAACGUUAUUCGGAAUCACUGGGCUUAAAGAGUCCGUAGGCGGCUUGUUAGGUGAGGUGUGAAAUCCCCCGGCUCAACCGAGGAAUUGCGCUUCAAACCGGCAAGCUUGAGGAGGAUAGAGGUGGGCGGAACUGAUGGUGGAGCGGUGAAAUGCGUUGAUAUCAUCAGGAACACCGGAGGCGAAAGCG